rnacentral:tRNA from 1 species
GGGCGGCUGGCCUAAUGGUAAGGCGUCUGAUUUCGGCCAAGAAGAUCUCAGAAGACUGCAGGUUCGAUCCCUGCGUCGCUCG